CCCCGAGGAAGGACACACUACAUGGCAGGGCUGCUAGGACACAAUCUAGGCCUUGUGGAAGGGGCAGAGGUCUUGGAGAAUGGGAAGGAGAAAGAGGUGUCUGGAGUUUGACUCGUGCAGAACCACAACACUAACCACUGGUGGCAGCGGGACGGAAUGAAAGAAUGACAACGGCCUGACCAUCCUACCGUGAGAGUUCGUCCCGAUAAUCUCCAAGACACCAGCUGUUGCUGAGACAAGGUCCUGCUGUAUAGCCCUGGCUGGGCUGGAGCUCACUGUGUAGACCAGGCUGCCAGAAAGCCAUCUGCCUCUGCCUCCUGAGCGCCUUAAUCACAGAUGUGAGCCCCAAGCCCAGCAUAAGAGAGAGACUAGUUUUGAAGAUAAUGACGUCCCCGUGGUACCUCUUCAUGAAUGCUUACUGUGUUUUAAAAACUCUACUUUCGACAGGUGGUGGUGGCACAUGCCUUUAAUCCCAGCACUUGGGAGGCAGAAGCAGCCAGAUCUCUGAGUUUGAGGUCAGCCUGGUCUACAGAGCAAGUUCUAGGAUAGCUAGGGCUACAGACAGAAACCCUGUCUUAAAAAGCCAAAAAGAAAAAAAGAAACCCUGACUCUACAAACCAAAAUCAACCAAAAAAAAAAACCCACAAAAACAAAACAACCCCCCCAAAACAAAAACCCUAUACUUUUGAUACCUAAAAUUGUUUCCAUCUAUAAACAAACACAGGUGGUAAUGUCAUCUGCCCGACCUGGUUGUGCUGGCUUUUGCUUAUUGUUUAUUUUGUUUGUUGAGGGCAGUAGCACCUGUGGAAGCGGUCCUGGUUUACAAAAGAAAGGUGUCUUGAGCCUGGCGAUGGUGGCGCACGCUUUUAAUCCCAACAAUCGAGAAGCAGAGACAGGCAGAUCUCUGUGAGUUCAAGACCAGCUUGGUCUAUAGAGCAAGUUUCAGGACAGGCUCCAAAGCUAGAGAGAGAGAGAGAGAGAGAGAGAGAGAGAGAGAUAAGAAAGAGAAAAGAAAGAAAGGUGUCUGAGCCUGAAAGCCGGCUUCCCUCGUGGGUCCUGCCUGUCCCUGUCCCAUGCCCUUCUAUGACAGACUGUGAUAGGGAGGUGUAAGCCAAACAAACCCUUUCAUUCCCUCAAGUUGGUUUCGUUCAGUGUUCUAUCACAGCAACAGAGGGCAAACUAGAACACUGGCAGAGCUGUGACAAUGAGAUGAACUAGUAUAUGCCAAGGACCAAACCGGCUGCUUGUUCAGUGGUCAUUCUUUUUUUUUUAAUAUUUAUUUAUUUAUUAUGUAUACAAUAUUCUCUCUGUAUGCCUGAAGGCCAGAAGAGGGCGCCAGACCUCUUUACAGAUGGUUGUGAGCCACCAUGUGGUUGCUGGGAAUUGAACUCAGGACCUUUGGAAGAGCAGGCAAUGCUCUUAACCACUGAGCCAUCUCUCCAGCCCGGUCAUCCUUUUUUUUAUAUAUAUAAUUUAUUUUUAUCUUGUGUGCAUUGUGUUUGUCUGUGUGAGGGUGCCAGAUCCCCUGGAGCUGGAGUUACAGACAAUUGUGAGCCAUCAUGUAGGUGCUGGGAAUUGAACUCAGGACUUCUGGAAGAGCAGCCAGUGCUCUUAAAUGCUGAGCCAUCUCUCCAGCCCACAAUGGUUGUCCUGAGGAGUUUUUUGUGCAUUUGGUCUUCUCAGCUAGGUCUGCCCACCCUGCCCCGGGAGGGCAGCAGAGGUGUCUUUCAUUCUAGCGUGUUCUACUUAGCACAUGGUAGACUCAGGGACUUGGAAGUCACAAUCAGAUGGCUGACCUGGCAGCUACAAUACACAGAAGAUGUGUGUAAUGAACAUUAGGUCUGACUGAAUGCUCCCAAAUCAAUUGGCCCACCCCCUGAGACUUGGCUGGCAAUGAACGGGGAGUGUGAGGUUCUUUUGACACAUGUACUCAGGGCCUGAUUUGAGCUAAGAUGUCUGUUCAAUGGUCCCCAGGGCAAUUUUCUCCUGAUUGAAUUGCAACUUUCGAUUUUAAUGGAAAAGAAGCCAAGUGUAAAAGGCAGUUUUUCCCAGGAGCAGACAUCCUUGUUCUGCUUUUCUUUCUGAAUUUGAGGGGUGCCAAUGCCCGUCAUCUGCAAAGGGGCCCCAGGGAUGGUAGUUUUCUGGGGACAGGUACACAGGUUGAAGUGGAAAUUGGGGAGAGAAGUUUUUUAUUUCUUCUCUUUUUUUGUUUUUUAUCUAUCUAUCAUUUAUUUAUUUAUUUUGAGAUUGAGCCUUACUAUGUAGCCUUAGUUGGCCUGGAACUUUCUAUGCAGACCAUGCUGGCUUUGAAACUAUGGAGAUCCACCUGCCUCUGACUCUCAAGUGUUGGAACUGUAGGUGUGUGCCAUCCUGCCCAACUCCCUUUUUUAAAAAAUUUAUUUGUUUUAAACACAGGGUUUCACUAUGUAGUCCUGGCUUGCCUGAAACCCACAAAGAUCUAACUGCCUCUGUGUCCCCAGUAUUGAGAUUAAAGAUUUGUGCCACAUGCCCAGUCCAGCCAGGGCUACACAGAGAAACCCUGUGUAGAAAAAUUUUUUUAAUUUUAAAAAUCGCCCAAGCGAUUUGUCCCUGUAUAGGUGUGCCAUGUCUGUUUCCGCUGGGCUGGACAUGAAUACAGUGGUCUUGAACCAGGGCAGCAGGGAUCGUCCACAGAAAGCCGGCACUAGAUCAAGCCUGUUAACAUUCCCUUGGAGGCCUGGAGCCAGCACUUGGGAGAACGACAGAAGAUCAGAAAUUCAAGACUGUCCCUAUAUAGCAAGUUCAAGGCCAGCUUGAGCUACCUGAGACCCUGUCUGGAAAACAAACCAAUGUUCCCUUGUGGAUAGACGGGAAGAAGCUCCUUCGGGAGACCUCUCACACUGCACUCCUUCCCAGUUAUGAGAGGUAAACAACCGGCUAGGUUGAUUCUCUUUGGUGGUGUGGCUGUCCAUUUCAAAGGGAACCUCCGUGAUGCAGCUUUUCAUGGGCCGUCUGUGGGGAAGGUGGUAUUCAGUGGUGUGGCUGCCCAGCAGACCUUUCUGCCUUCCUUGCUGUUUAUCCUCCUGGGAGUCAUUCCUGCUCUUGUAAGUAAUUCCACCAUGAUGGGAUUUGAUAGGCUUCUUUAUUUCUCUCUCUUUCUUUCAUUAUUUCUUUUUCUUUUCUUUUUUUUUUGUUUUGUUUUUUUGAGAUUGAGUUUCUCUGUAGCUUUGAAGCUAUCCUGGAACUCACUCUGUAGACCAGGCUGGCCCCAACUCACAGAGAUCUGCCUGCCUCUGUCUCCCUAGUGCUGGGAUUAAAGGCAUGUGCCACCACUGCCCGCCUAGGCUUGUUUCUUUAGUCUGUGGAUACUCUCCCAACUCAGAGAGAAUAGAUGUGUCCUUAUAUCUCCCGGGAAAAGUCAUUCAACAAUGAAGUAAGAGUGGUCUUUUAGGAGCUGGAGAGAUGGCUUAGUGGUUAAGAACACUGGCUGCUCUUCCAGAGGAUCCAGGUUCAAUUUCCAGCAUCCACAAGGCAGCUCAUAACUGCCUGUAACUUCAGUUUCAGGGGAUCUAACAAUUUAGAAAAAAAGAAAAAGAAAGGUUCUUUAAUAACUCACCAUCAGAACCAGUGGCACAUGCCUUUAAUCCCAGACACAAAGGCAAGUAGAUGUCUGUGAGUUUGAGGCAAACCCGGGCUACACAAAGAGUUCUAAGCAGGCCUGGGCUUCAGAGUGAGACCCUGCCUCAACAGUGAACAGUGGUGGCACAGAUGCCCCAUUAGGGUGGUACGCUCAAGAGUCCGCCUUUUCUCACGCUUUGACCAGUUGUAGGUCUCUGCAUUAACUGCUGCCCACUGAGGAAAGACGUUUAUCUCGCCAGCGUUAAGUGCGACACUAGUCAAUGGGUAGACACACUAAUAUUAAACAGGGAGUCUGACAAGCUGACCAUCUAGCAAAACGGCAGUAGUAGAACACGUUCUCACCCCCACCACAACCUAUGACAUCCCAAGUCAUGGCCUUUUGAAAAGUUUACAUUUCCUUCCUGUGGGGCAGAUCUCAGACCCAGUCAGAGAGUGGUUAGUUACCCCCAUAACCUUCAUGCCACUAUUACAGCAGUGGGCAUAUCUUACCUGGCAGUUCAGUAGUCAGAGUUCACCACUAAAUAACAAAUGCCAUUGAUGACCUUUCACCCUUAGUGACCUGCUUGGCAUCUUCCAACACUAUGAAAGGAAGCCAGCCUGGAGGAAGGUGUCAGGUCAGUUCCAGCGUGAUGUCACUAUGCCCUGCAACUGAAAUACGUUGUGUCUUCGGCAAGCAGUUCUGGGUAACCAAGAAUAAUGGCAAUAGCCUGAGAACUUAAUGUUUACUUUUUAUAGAUGACACUGAUAUUCAGGGAAUUAGUUUAUCUGUCAGGGCACAGUGGACGGUAAUGGAGCUGGCCUCGGGCUUCUCUGAAGGAGCCGAAAGUCUGUACUCUUUGUUAACAUGCUCUUUGCCUCCCGUUAGGGUGUGAGCCUCACCCAGAGUUGGUGAAAUCCUAGCUCCCUCCCCUUGUCUGACUUGGUCUCUUGUGAUAGACGUAAAAGCUUUUUGUUCAUUCUGCCUGCAUUUUCCAGCUCAAGAUGAAAGAAGAGUGACGGGCUCAGUAAGUGUUAGCGGUUAUUAAUAUUGUAUUGUCCAGGUUCUUUCUGGCAGCCAGGGAGGUGAUUCCCCAGGCCAUUGCUAGCAGUGAGUACUUAGAAGUGUUCUUGAAUGAAGGAGACCAAUGGGUUGGGAGUUUGGAGAGUAAAGUUGAUCUAGGAAAAAGCUGAAAAGGGAGAGUGUAGGGAGCCUGGGGAGGGAGCAGUGGGGCAGAGGAAGCAGUUGGCAGGAUGCCAGACUGCACUUUGCCUUUGGUGUGGCCGUCCCUGAGGGUUGGGAGGUGGGGGGGGGUUAGCCCCUCUACUCCUGAUUGGUCAGAUCUCCUUGCUUUAGGCCUCAUUUCUUCCCUUUCAGGGCAGAGGGGAGAUUGAAGCUUGUGGUUACAUAGAGCCCCCUGGAAUUCUUCCAGGAAGAGGGUGAAGCGUGCCUUGAAAACCAAGACUCGAGUCCUAUGUGGGUCAGGAGCUGUGCAUGCCAGGCACACUACACUCACGCUGCUGGAGAGCUUCCAAAUCAGCCAGAUGUCAGUGCACAUCUCAGCAUCCCCGCUCUUGCAACUGUGUGACUUUGUGCAGACAGGAUCCAAGGGAGUCCAGACUGGCUUCAAGCUUGCUACAGUGACCUUAAAUUUUGGAUUGUCCCACCUCCCAAGCGGGACUUCCGCGCGUGCUUACACAGUGCUGGGUAUUGGAUCCUCCAGGCAUUCAUUCUAUCGGCAGAGCUCCACUCCCUGCCUGAGGUGGUGGAAAUAAGUGUGGGUGGUGGGUGGUUGGGUUUAGCUCUUGGCUUG